rnacentral:rRNA from 1 species
UUUUGAGGGGCACAUUUGGGGCCCCCACCCGCGGGAAUUCCCCCUCCCCAAGAGUAUAUUAAAGAUGUUGCAGUUAAAAAAAUCGUAGUUGAACCUUGGGCCUGGCUGGCCGGUCCGCCUCACCGCGUGUAAUGGUCCGGCCGGGCCUUUCCUUUUGGGGAGCCUCCUAUCCCUUUCUGGGGGUGGUGGGGGACCCGGAGUUUUUCUUUUAAAAAAAAAGAAUGUUCAAAACAGGCCUUUGUUCGAAAACACUAGCACGGGAAAAUAGAAUAUGAGGCGUGGGUUUAUUUUUUUGGUGUUUAGGAGCCCCGUAAAGAUUUAUAGGGGGACUGGGGGGGGCCAGUAUUCUCGCGUCUCAGGGGAAAAAUUUGGAGAGUUUGAGGAGUAAAAAUUGUGAAAACACUUUUCACAAGGGUUUUUUCUAUUAUCAGAAAGAAAAGUAGGGGAUUGAAAAAGAUCAGAUACCGUUGUAGUUUUUACCCUUAAAUAACCGGAUUAGA